UGCAUCGCGGGGACAGCCUCUACUGAAGUUGCUGGCUCGGGUGUCAGAAAUGGUGGGCGGUACUGCAGCCAUUUCUCACAAAUAGUGCAAGAUCGGGCCUGGCUUGAUGCCCCUCAGCUGAGUGGCUACAUCGAACAUCGAACUGUUUCCCUGUUGAGCUCAUAAUGCCCAAAGCUUAAAAAUCAAGACCGUCAGCUGGAAAGAGAGGACUGGAUCUGACAGAAAAUAAGCUUCAUUUUCUUUUAAGGCUGAAAUUUGGAGUUGUGUCUAGAAAGAAGGGUCCUGAAUUGCCCAAUACGAUACAUUUUCUUCUGAUUUUCAGUGUCCUAACAAGUUUACCCCGUUCGUCUCAGAGAAACUCUCGUGAUACGUGUG